ACUAAAUAGAUACCCGGGUAGUCCCAGCCCUAAACGAUGCAUACUUGGUGUAGCUAGGCUCAAACCCUGGCUGUGCCGGAGCUAACGCGUUAAGUAUGCCGCCUGGGGAGUACAGUCGCAAGGCUGAAACUCAAAAGAAUUGACGGGGGCCCGCACAAGCAGUGGAGCAUGUGGUUUAAUUCGAUGCAACGCGAAGAACCUUACCCAGGCUUGAACUGUAGGAGACCGCCUCAGAGAUGAGGCUUCCCGCAAGGGCUGCUACAGAGGUGCUGCAUGGCUGUCGUCAGCUCGUGCCGUGAGGUGUUGGGUUAAGUCCCGCAACGAGCGCAACCCUUAUCACUAGUUGCCAGCGCGUAAAGGCGGGGACUCUAGUGAGACUGCCCGGGUUAACCGGGAGGAAGGUUAGGAUGACGUCAAGUCCGCAUGGCCCUUAUGUCUGGGGCUACACACGUGCUACAAUGGCCGGUACAGAAGGCAGCAAGACCGCGAGGUGGAGCAAAUCCUAAAAAGCCGG
rnacentral:rRNA from 1 species